AUGUGAGUGGAGCGGAGCGGGGAGCGGAGUGGUAAUAUUUCCUUAAGAGCGCAGAGCGCCUUUCUGAAGAUUCCGCUCCGCUCGCUCAAUACGCUCAGCGCCGCUCGCUCAACCCAGAAUGCCCUUUGGUGAUUUGCUUGUUCGAGAUCGAGAAUCUGUAGAGAUCGAGAAUAGUAGAGCAGUUAUGGAGUUAAGAUAUUGUUUCAACUAAGUUGCAAGCCUUAUACAUAUAUGUAAAGUAAAAAUCAAAGUUAAGAAUGAGCAGGGAGAAGAAACUGAGAGGGAGUGCGGGGAGACUGUUAAAGUUAGUACAGAUUCAUAUUGAUUACAGAAAGCACGAAGAUGUAUGCAAACAUGGUGCAGCAAAAGGUGAGCUAGUUACAUACCAUAAUAAAUGAAUAAACAGGUAGGCUAAGGUUAUAUUCGGCUAUACGGAGCCCUG